CUGUUUUUUUGCUUUAUCUGAAAGCUGAAAAAGCAAAUAAAUGAAUUGUUUCGCCGCACAUAAAUUAAAAACUUUUUAAUAGUUCGUUUUAUCGAAUAAUAUUAAGGAUCUGGUGGCAAAAGUUCGAUUGUGCACAUAAAUACAAAAGGAAACUUAUGAUGAUCUAUAUAAAAUUAUAAUUAAUAUCUUAAUGUCAGAUAGACGGUUAAAAUUCUAAAUCAUCAUAAUGAAAGAACAAAAUUUAUUGCUUACACUAUCACAAUCCCUAAUUGGCACCGGCUUUUUCUUUCUUUAUGUGCAACAUGUGCGGUCGAUAUUUGAGUCCCGUACCAAUAUUGCACAUUUAACACAAUUGGAACGAGAGUCAUUGUUUCGACGUGAAGACUCAUUAUACUAUUCAUUUUAUAAGACACUCACAGAUGAAAAUGACUUUUGGAGUGGUUACAAUAAAUUAAAAAAUGUAUCUGGGAUUGAAUAUCCAGAAAAUGUUAAUGUACUGCAACGGUUCCAUGUACUUCCUGAAUUGACAAUAGCGUACCUUUAUCACAUUUUAAGACGCUAUGCCUUCACAGAAAAGUUUCCGAUUCUUAGCUGUUGGCACAGUAGUGAUAUAAGUUUACCCUUGGAACAUCGGCAUUGUGAUGGAAUGGGCCAGCCCAUGCAAUUUUAUUUGGAAUUUGUAUGGCUGCUUGGCGGUUUGACUGUACUAGUGAUCUAUAUAUAUGGGACAUUACUUAGUGAAAACAUUUUUGGUGGCAUUUAUGCAGUGAUUUCUUAUGUAAUGUUUCAUAGCUUCGCCUCCAAGAUUUACAAUACUCCUCUUGCUCGUGAAAACUUCGCGUUUCCUGUCAUAUUUAUGCAAAUGUUUUAUCUUUGCUUGUGCAUUGAUCGGGUCACGCAACGUAGAGCAUAUCAUAUGCGUUUCUUUAUUACUGUGAAAUUGACAUUGCUAACCACUGUAGCUCUCCUCUGCUGGCAAUUUUCUUCAAUUAUUUUUGCCACCCAACUUCUUAUUAUGAUGACACCUUGGUCCUUAAGUCCGGUAUCCGAGGUGGUUUCUAGUGCAUUUACCAUUGAUUAUUCGCUUUCUCAACUAAUCGCCACUGUACUUGCUUAUUACUUUUCUUAUUCUAACAAAACAUACGUUUUUUCUUGGCAUGUUGGUCCGGCAUUUGGACUUUUCUUGCUCAGUGUUGAAAGGCAAGUAAAGCCACAACCUCCUAAUAGUGGCUUUUCCCUUAAAAGCAUGUGGCCUGGUUUAUUAGCGGCGGUAAGCGCACAAGGAACCAUAAUUGAACUCUUUGAGAAAUCAGGGCUGGCACGCUCAGUUGAUAACGGAUUUGCUUUGUAUCGUGAUUUGAUUGUCCAUUGGGGCUUGCAGGCAAAGGUUAAUUUCACAACGAGUCUUGCUGCAUGCAAUCCAGCCUAUCAUAAUUUAAGUAUAUCCAAUUUGUGGGAGCUCAUAAAAACGCUAAUCAUUAAACCAUACUGUAUGUAUGGUGUUGUAAUGCUAGCAAAGUUUUUUCGCAAAUGGCGUAAGGGCAGUGAAAAAAAGACUCCCAAUAGAGAUAAUAUAGAGCGAGCAAAGAAGUACGUGCUUGAAGAUUAUUUAGAAGAGAAUCACAUAUCAAUGGUUGACAUGUGGAAUAAAGAAACAGAAAACGAAUUAAAUGAAUGUCUCAAGCUUUUAGAAGAAUGCGACUUUGAUUACCAACGCUACAAACAAGAAAAGACAAAAUCCAAAAACAACAAAAUUGAUGAGCAUGCAGAGUUCAUGAACAACAUAAAGUUGUUAAAAGAGCAAAUAAAAGAACGAAAUCAACAAAGAGAGCAUGAAAAUACUAGUGCUGCGACAAAUGCAACUAAUUUUAAAAAUAUACAGGCCCAACAAGCCAAAAGUACAGAUGAUAAAAAGCCGUCCAAAAUUAAUGUAGAUGCAGUAGAUGGCGACAGGUCAAGCGCAAAUACAGAAAAUGUGGAAACAGUGACUGAGACGGUUGAUGAAAUGAACAGUGAAUCAAGUAACAUUGGCGACGACAAUAAAGGAGCUCGCCGAGCACGGCAUAAAGCUGCGAAUUGUGCAGCUUCCAGGGCUGAAUAUCAUAAUGACAUAUUCAGCUUUCACUAUCUCUACAGCUUCAUGCAAAUGUUGGUUUUUACUGCUUUCGGUCUCAGUAUCAAGAAAUUAUUCUUCCUAAGCUUUACUCAAGGUUGUGUGAUUGCGCCGACAAUAUGUUCUAAGUUUUGGUAUCGCAAACAACGGAAUAUAUUUUGGUCAGUAUCUCUGGCAGUUUUCUUAACGAGCGUGGUAAAUCCCGGUUUUGUGAAAUUGCAUUAUUACAGAAUAUACACGAAGAAUACUUUCCUAAUCGACAAGGAGUUGUUAACGAUGAUUUGGAUAGCAUGUUGGAAUGGAUUAAAAUUAAUACUGAACGGGAUGCUGUUUUUGCAGGUCCAGUAGAUAUUAUUGGCACAGUUCAUUUAGUUACCAGACGACCGAUUGUAAACCAUGCGCAUUUGGAAAUGCGGCAUAUUAGCGAACGUACCGAACAUGUCUAUU
rnacentral:misc_RNA from 1 species